UACAGAGGGGGCAAGCGUUGUUCGGAAUUACUGGGCGUAAAGGGCGCGUAGGUGGCCUUCUAAGUUGAACGUGAAAUCCCUGGGCUCAACCCAGGAACUGCGUCCAAGACUGGGAGGCUUGAAUCCGGGAGAGGGAUGCGGAAUUCCAGGUGUAGCGGUGAAAUGCGUAGAUAUCUGGAGGAAUACCGGUGGCGAAGGCGGCAUCCUGGACCAUAACUGACGCUGAGGCGCGAAAGCUAGGGGAGCAAACGGG
rnacentral:rRNA from 1 species